CAGCAGCCGCGGGAACACGUAGGGUGCAAGCGUUAAUCGGAAUUACUGGGCGUAAAGCGUGCGCAGGCGGUUUGUUAAGACAGAUGUGAAAUCCCCGGGCUCAACCCGGGAACUGCAUUUGUGACUGGCAAGCUAGAGUGUGGCAGAGGGGGGUGGAAUUCCGCGUGUAGCAGUGAAAUGCGUAGAUAUGCGGAGGAACACCGAUGGCGAAGGCAGCCCCCUGGGCCAACACUGACGCUCAUGCACGAAAGCGUGGGGAGCAAACAGGAUUAGAUACCCCCGUAGUCCCUGUCUCUUAUAC
rnacentral:rRNA from 1 species